UAUAAGAUUAGCAGUUUUCAAAAAGUAUAAUGGCGCAUGCGCAAUAGUUCGAAAAUUACAAAUCAUUUUUUUUUUAAAACUCGAUUAAUCGAUAUAAUAAAUAAAAGUAUCAAACGCCACCUGUUGCAAAAAAAUUUAUUAGAGUUUUUAUGUUGGUGAAUUCCAGCGCCAUUUUCUGCGUCUAUUGUUACAGCGAACAUUGAACAAUCAUUAAGUGUUAUUACGUAGAUUUAUUAUUUAUAAAAUAUAUCAGUGGUGAAAUAUAUGUGCAUUCGUUUACUUCAAGUGGUAACUGAUGAGUAUUAUGUAAUAAUAGUGAAGUUUAAUUUUUUUUUUUAAUUUCCCGUAAGUGUAAAGUGUAAACGACGUCUGAUAGUUGUCGGAAUCGUCAGAGAGGAAAUUCCAAGUAUUUAAAUAUUUAAUUCUGAUAUUUAAUUCAAAUUUAUAUUUAAAGAGAUGAUUGAUAUUCAAAGAUAGUUAAAGUAGAGAUAAUAUAAUGUAAUUACAUAUUUUAUUAUCGGUUUUUUAAAAUCAACAUAGCGCGUACGCAGUAGUUUGAAAGUCAAUUAAUCGAUGUAUAUCGAAUAAAAAUAUCGAACGUCAGCUAAACAAUUGCAUUUAGCUUUUUGCCUCAGCGUCAGCGCGUUAGAUUUAGGUGAGCGUAAUUUCAUGAAAAUUUUUAUAGUGGACAGUUGUAGUCAUUGUGUGAAUUAAUUAAAUAUGUGAUAAAAUAUCAGUACAUUUAUUAUUUAAAGUCUCAUUACUAGUGUUGUAAAAUUGUGUUGUUUUCGUGUACGGUAUUUUUUUUUUUUUUUUAUAAGUAUUGUGUCAGUGUUGUCUCAAUUUUAUGUCAGUAUCAUAUUGUUAGAGUCAGUGCCAGUGUCAGUUUUAAAUUCAGUGUCAGUAUUAGAGUCAGUGUUUGAAUCAGUACUAGAGUCAGUGUUUAAAUCAGUGUUUGAAUCAGUACUAGAGUCAGUGUUUAAAUCAGUACUAGAGUCAGUGUUUGAAUCAUUACUAGAGUCAGUGUUUAAAUCAGUACUAGAGUUAGUGUUUGAAUCAGUAUUAGAGUCAGUGUUUGAAUCAGUACUAGAGUCAGUGUUUGAAUCAUUACUAUAGAGUCAGUGUUAAAAUCAGUGUCAGUCUGCAAAGUAUAAUCAAGAAUUGCUGGUUGCUGAAAUCACCAGAGAGACACUUCAAGGUAUAUAAAUUAUCAGACACCACUAACUAAAGGAAAUAUGACAUGAUUCAUCGUACAAGUGGAUGUUUAGCCAAUGUGCAAUUUUCUUUCUCACUCUUUAUCGCUUUGUUGGUAACUUCUUUAGCUUCCGGCGUGUGUGCAAAGUUUCCAAGGAUACAAGUCUUUGAACGACGAAUAAGAUGAAGUAGCCAGCACUUUAUAAAAACAAGAAGAAGACGGCUUAGAAAAUGAUUCAAAAAAUAAAUAAACAAAAAAAAGUACGAUGAAGAAGCAGUUGAAGCAGAAAAAAAGACCAAGAAGAAGUAGAAGUAGAAGAAGAAAUGAGAAGACGCGAAUAAGUUUUUCGAUAUUUUGCUCACGCACGCGCUCACGCAACCACGCACUUACUCACGCAAGUGGUGGUGAUCCUCGUGGUGGUGGCUGUUACCGUGGGUGGUUGCACUGCUUCGGGUAAAAAGAAGCUGUGCACCUUGAUAAAGAGGAAGAUAUUGACUUUUCCUUUUCUCUCUCCUCUCUCUUCUCAGCCUCGCCCAUCAACUGAUCAUGAGGAUCGAAGCAAGGAUAACUUUUAUAAAAAAAAACCAAGAAAAGAGAUCGCUGACACGCUACCUUGAUGAUAAAGAGUAAAAACAUGACACAAGUUGAAUAAUAAAGUCUGAAUAAAAGAUGAAAUCUAACGUAACUUCAUCUAGAUCCAGAGGUCACCAUUCUCAGGCAUAAAAAAUUUAUUAUUAUUCUGGUUAUAAAACAAACAGAGUUCAGCAACUAGAUAUGUCGCUAAGAAUUUAUAUCAAAUAAUCUGGCUAGUUAAACUUAAUGGAGUUACUUCGUGAAGAAAGCAUAGCGGCAUAAGCGAACAAGAGUUACAAGCUUACAAUAAAAGCGAGUGAUGGAUUUUAAGAAAGCUAUAAUGAGAAUUGAUUAAAAAAUGAUCAAGAGAUUCGAGAUAACUUGGCCUUGGGCAGUAAAAACCAUUACCUUCUACGGACAAAUAUGCUGUGGUAGUGGAAACACCCAGAGGAUUGAGUGCUUCGAAGACAAUUUCUCCAGUAUCAUCAGG